CGUCGUUAAGGAACUGAGAGUACUGGUCCGGCUGGACCUUUCCUUCUGGGGAAUCUCAUGGCCUUCACUGGCUGUGGGGGGAACCAGGACUUUUACUGUGAAAAAUUAGAGUGUUCAAAGCAGGCCUUUGCUCGAAUACAUUAGCAUGGAAUAAUAGAAUAGGACGUGCGGUUCUAUUUUGUUGGUUUCUAGGACCGCCGUAAUGAUUAAUAGGGAUAGUCGGGGGCGUCAGUAUUCAGCUAUUCAGUGUCAGAGGUGAAAUUCUUGGAUUUGCUGAAGACUAACUACUGCGUACUGCGAAAGAUUCGCCAAGGAUGUUUUCAUUAAUCAGGAACGAAAGUUAGGGAUCCCGACUA
rnacentral:rRNA from 1 species